AGCGAACGCUGGCGGCAGGCCUAACACAUGCGAGUCGAACGAACUCUUCGGAGUUAGUGGCGGACGGGUGAGUAACACGUGGGAACGUGCCUUUUGGUUCGGAAUAACUCAGGGAAACUUGUGCUAAUACCGAAUGUGCCCUUCGGGGGAAAGAUUUAUCGCCAUUAGAGCGGCCCGCGUCUGAUUAGCUAGUUGGUGAGGUAACGGCUCACCAAGGCGACGAUCAGUAGCUGGUCUGAGAGGAUGACCAGCCACACUGGGACUGAGACACGGCCCAGACCCCAACGGGGGGGCGGAGUGGGGAAUUUGGGGCAAUGGGCGAAAGCCUGACGCAGCCCGGCCGUGUAAAUGAGGAAGGUUUUAGGAUUGAAAAAUUCUUUACCCGGGGACGAUAAGGCCGGAACCGGGAAAAAAAGCCCCGGCAAAUUUCUU
rnacentral:rRNA from 1 species